rnacentral:pre_miRNA from 1 species
CUUGUACUCCCUUCGCCUGAAAAAGCUUAUCCCAAGCUUAUUCUUCGAGUGGUUGUAUCUAGCAUCAAGUUAGUGUUAGAUACAUCCAUUUGAGGGACAAGCUUUUUGGGACGGAGGGAGUAGCCG